AAGGGGCGGAGAGGAUAGCUUGGGCUCUGGCGGGCCGCGGGACUGGCAGAACCUGCGGGCUAGGUGGGUGGCUCGCCAGCCGGGACGAAGGGAAAUGAGGACCACCGCUCCGGGGCGCGAGUAGGCGCCUGCAGUCCGGGGGCUCAGCCGCCGCGCCUCUUCCUCUUGCAGCUGGAGACUGCAACAGCGGCGGGUGCACCGGCAGCAGCGACGACCCUGCGCGCAGGUGGCAGUGUAGAAGCCAGACCGGGAGCUUCCAGAAGUGGUUUCUGAAAGAGUCAAAUGUACAUGAGUAAGCAAGCACAGGAAUCUGAAAAACCACAGAGUGGGAACUUCCCUUCUGUUUGCUUAUGUCACUUCUUCCACAUCUGUUGAGAUGAGAAUAUGAGUAUCCUCCUUCAAUACGUUAAUAUGGCUAUGGAUGGAAUGUCUUGAGAAUGAAGUCGAGUCCUUGCUAGAAUGACCUGAAAAACUCCACGAGUAGGUAAAGUUGUCAUCUCUUAUUUGUCUAUUAGGGCUUUAUGAAUUUCUUUUUACUUACUCCAGUUCUUUUCCAUUUUAACUUUAUUAGAAACAUACUUGUUUGUUAUUGUCUUAAUUUACUGUUUGUUAUACUUCCCUCUUUAUUUUCAUCUUUAGGAUGCCCUACAGUAUUAUGCUUUUUAAUGAAGGUAGGGAGGUGGUUGAAAGCAUCUGGUGACAAGUCCCCUUUUUAAUCUUUGGGAAAUUAGUUUAUUUCUAGGAGCCUUGGGUUCUUUACUUCUAAAAUACGUGAUUGGACUGGAUGAUUUUUCAAGUUGAGUCAUUAAUUCUUAACAAAAUUCUACAAAUCUGAAACAUGAAAGUGGUGAUACUGCAUACUUCAUUGGAUAGCUGAAUAUUUCUCAGUGUGGCCAUCCAGGCCCAAGAUACACAUUUGGGAGUCAUCAGUGCAUAGAUAUAGCAUUCAAAAUCAUGAGCUCAAAUGAUGUUAGGAGUAUAGCCAAGAAGAGGAGUGGUGUGAGCACUGACUGACCCCUGGGAUACCCUACUGUUGAUAGUAAAUGAGCGUAGAAAGAACAAAUAAAAGAGACUGAGCAGCUGUGCCCAGGAAAGUAGGAGGAGAACCAAAUGUCUUGGAUUCAAGUAUAAAAAUGUUUUAAGAAUUGAAGUGUGCAGUUAUGUUGAAUGUAGCUGAUAGUUUGGGUACUAUAAGGUCUGAAACUUAGCCAUUGGCUGUAGGAAGGUAGAGGUCUUGGUAGACCUUAACCUGUUUUGGUGAAGGGAUGGUGGGAAGGUGACAUGGUUUAGAUCUGUGUCCCCACCCAAAUCUAAUGUUGAAUUGUAAUCCCCAAUGUUGGAGGUGGGGCCUGGUGGGAAGUGAUUGGAUCUUGGGGGUGGAUCCUUCAUGAACGGUCUAGCAACAUCCCUUUGGUGCUGUUCUCAAGAUAGAGUUCUCAUGAGGUUUGGUGGUUUAAAAGUGUAUAGCACCUUCAUAGUAGAAUGAUUUAUAUUCCUUUGGGUAUACACCUAGCAAUGAGAUUGCUGGGUCAAAUGGUAUUUCUGGUUCUAGAUUCUUGAGGAAUUGCCACACUGUCUUCCACAAUGGUUGAACUAAUUUACAUUCCCACCAACAGUGUAAAACCAUCCCUAUUUCUCCACAGCCUUGCCAGCAUCUGUUGUUUCUUGACUUUUUGUAUUUUGUUUUGUUUUGUUUUGAGACGGAGUCUCAUUCUGUCACCCAGGCUGGAGUGCGGUGGUGCGAUCUCAGCUCACUGCAACCUCCACCUCUCAGGUUCAAGCAAUUCUCCAGCCUCAGCCUCCCGAGUAGCUAGGAUUAUAGGUGCCUGCCACCACGCUAAUUUUUUUAUUUUUAGUAGAGGCACGGUUUCACCAUGCUGGCCAGGCUGGUCUCCAACUCCUGACUUCAGGUGAUCCGCCCGCCUUGGCCUCCCAAAAUGCUGGGAUUACAGGUGUGAGCCACCAUGCCCUGCCCUUGACUUUUUCAUAAUUCUCAUUCUGACUGGCGUGAGAUGGUAUCUCACUGUGGUUUUGAUUUGCAUUUCUCUAAUGAUCAGUGAUGCUGAGGUUUUUUUCAUAUGUUUGUUGGCCGCAUAAAUGUCUUCUUUUGAGAAGUGUCUGUUUAUAUACUUUGCCUACUUUUUGAUGGGGUUGUUUGUUUUUUUCUUCUAAAUUUGUUUAAGUUCUUUGUAAAUUCCAGAUAUUAUACCUUUGUCAGAUGGGUAGAUUGCAAACAUUUUCUCCCAUUCUGUAGGUUGCUUAUUCACUCUGGUGAUAGUUUCUUUUUGCUGUGCAGAAGCUCUUUAGUUUAAUGAGACCCCGUUUGUCAGUUUUAGCUUUUGUUGCAAUUGCUUUUGGCAUUUUCGUCGUGAAAUCUUUGCCCAUGCCUAUGUCCUGAAUGGUACUGCCUAGGUUUCCUUCUAAGGUUUUUAUGGUUUUGGGUUUUACAUUUAAGUCUUUAAUCCAUCUUGAGUUAAUUUUUGUAUAAGGUGUAAGGAAUGGGUCCAAUUUCAGUUUUCUGCAUAUGGCUAGCCAGUUUUUCCAUUACUGGGUAUAUACGCAAAGGAAUAUAAAUCAUUCUACUAUAAAGAUACAUGCACACAUAUGUUUAUUGCAGCACUAUUUACAAUAGCAAAGACAUGGAACCAAUCCAAAUGCCCAUCAACGAUAGACUGGAUAAAGAAAAUGUGGUACAUAUACACCAUGGAAUACUAUGCAGCCAUAAAAAGGAAUGAGAUCAUGUCCUUUGCCAGGUACAUGGAUGAAGCUGGAAGGCAUCAUCCUCAGCAAACUAACACAGGAACAGAAAACCAAAUGCCGCCAGUUCUCACUUACAAGUGGGAGGUGAACAAUGAAAACUCAUGGACGCAGAGAGGGGAAAAACACACACCAGGGCCUACUGGGGGUGGGGAGGGGAGGGAGAGCAUCAGGACAAAAAGCUAAUGCAUGUGGGGCAUAAAACCUAGAUGAUGAGUUGAUAGGUGCAACAAACCACCAUGGCACGCAUAUACCUAUGUAAUAAACCUGCAUGUUCUGCAGAUGUAUCCUGGAACUUAAAGUAAAAUAAAAAAAAAAAGUAUAUAGCACCUCCUCCCUCCUUUCUGCUCUGGCCAUGUAAGUUGUGCCUGCUUCUCCUUCGCCUUCUGCCAUUAUUGUAAGU